GGCUGCCCCUCACCUCCCGCUCCGCCGUUCGGAAUCCCCGCGCCUCCGUCACGUGACCCCCCUCCGACACCCUCACGCACGGUGCGUGACUUCCGCCAGGAGCUCUCGCGAGAGCUGCCGCGGUUGUCCAGGGAGCGGGGUGGGGCGGUGGGCCCGGGCCUGGGCGAGCCCGCCCCGCCGGGGAACGAGGGCUCCGGUGCUAUCGCCUGUGAGCUGCAGCGGAGGCCCGAGCGGCCCCGGGCAGGAAGGGACCGAGUCCGGUGGGGUUCGGGCCCUGCCAGGCCUGGAGGGAAGCGGGACCCGGGCCUGGGGAGGACCCCGCCCCGGUCGGACGCUGGGCGGUUCAGCUGGAGGGUUCCGCAGCCGCUGCCCACCGGGGAAGCUUCCGAAAGUCCGCAGCACAGCUUUGUGGUGUAGCCAGCCCUGCAUCGCAGCCGGGCGAGGGAGGGGAUUGUCCCGCUCUGCCCCGCGCUGGGGCGGCCUCACCUCGAGUGCUGGGCGCAGUGUUGGGCGCCGCAGUACUUCAAGGAUAUAAAGCUACUGGAGAGUGUCCAGGGAAGGGCUGUGAACUUGUUGAAGGGUUUAGAGCAGAAACCGUAUGAGGAGAGGUUAAAGUCGCUUGGUUUGUUCAGCCUGGAGAAGAGGAGGCUGAGGGCAGCCCUCAUCGCGGCCUGCAGCGUCCUCCCAAGGGGAGGAGGGGGGGCAGGUGCUGAUCUCUUCUCUCUGGUGACCAACGACAGGACCCGAGGGAAUGGCAGGGAGAUGUGCCAGGGGAGGUUUAGGUUGGAUAUUAGGAAAAGGUUCUUCCCCCAGAGGGUGGUGGAGCGCUGGAACAGGCUCCCCAGGGAGGCAUCACGGCACCAGCCUGACGAUAUUAAAGAAGCACUUGGACAAUGCCCUCAGAGACAUGGUGUGAAUUUUGGGGUUGUCCUGUGCAGGGACAGGAGUUGGACUCAAUGAUCCUUGCGGGUCCCUUGCAACUCAGGACAUUCUAUUGUUCCUGUGCCUGGGGCGGAGGCCAGGGUUUGGCCGCGAAGAAGAAGAGUGACAAUAUGGAUGGUAAAAGUAUCAAAGCAGCUGCAUUUCUAAAGCCUCUCAGCCUUGUUUGGUGUCCCUGGAGCGUGUGAGCACUCCUGGGCAGGGGCUGUCCAGGGCCGGUGUUUCUCCCCUUCACUAACGACUCAGAGGAGCCCUGUGAUAAGGAAUGCCCUUGACAAGAAUUUGUCUCCAGUGCUCUGCUUUGUACUGUGCGUCUGCCACCCUCCAGUGGUUCUGCAUAAAGGAGAAGGUGGAAUACUAUGGGAUUCUUUGUUGAAAUUCUCAGCAUUGAAAUAUAAGGGUUCCUGUGUCAUUAUAUUGAGCUUUGUAGCUUCUGCAUUAAGAACAGUAAUGAAUUGUGACGGGUGUCUUUUGUUAGGGGUGGAUGUGCUGCUCCUUUGUUCCCUGCUUUGCUCCAGCACAAUUCUGUCAGCCUUCAGUCCCUUGUAUCCGUGCACAUGGCCAGGAACGGCUGCAUCAGCAUUUCAGUUGCUCAGUCAGGGUUGGUUCCACAUGUGUGUGAUUGUGGUGAACUCUGAGCUGCCCUGGAUUGGUGGAUUACUCAGUUUGUAGGACUCUAGCAGACCAGGUGUUUGGUUAGGGGAGCUUACGGGUGUUGCUGUUUUGGUUGCGAGCCUUCAAAGUCUUUGAGCAGAAUUCGCCUGGAUUGUAAACUGUCUCUAAUUGUAGCAAAUGGGCUAGGGAGCGUGGAGUUGUGCCUUAAGACCUUCACAGCGCACCACACAAAAUAUAACAACUGAUUUUGUUUCUGUUUCUGACUCUGAACUCUUUACCUUGAUACCAGUCAUGCAAAAUUCAGCUGCAGAAGAAAUGGCUUUGUAUAGAUUGUAAAAUGAGAGUGUGGGUUAAGGUAUUUAUAAUGGAGAAUAAAGGUUUAAAACUCAUCAUAAA